UACGUAGGGACCAAGCGUUGUUCGGAUUUACUGGGCGUAAAGGGCGCGUAGGCGGCAAUUCAAGUCAUCUGUGAAAUCUCCGGGCUUAACCCGGAACGGUCAGAUGAUACUGCUUUGCUAGAGUGCGGAAGGGGCAAUCGGAAUUCUCGGUGUAGCGGUGAAAUGCGUAGAUAUCGAGAGGAACACCUGAGGUGAAGACGGGUUGCUGGGCCGACACUGACGCUGAGUGCGCGAAAGCCAGGGGAGCGAACGGG
rnacentral:rRNA from 1 species